UUCGGCCAUACCAAGUUGAAACACCGGUUACCGUACGAUCACCGAAGCGAAGCAACGUCGAGCCUGGUCAGUAUCUAGACGGGUUACCGCUUGAGAAUACAAGGUGCUGUAA
rnacentral:rRNA from 1 species